rnacentral:lncRNA from 1 species
UUUCUGUAGUGGGUCUCAUUGGGGUCUAAGCGUGACGCAGGAUUGCCGAUUUUUUGUAAGCGUGACACUUGAAAGUCAAAUUAUUGUGUCGUGAAAACGGGAAAUGAGGUCUAGCGGGACCCGGGAAAUGACAAAAAAAUGAGAAUUGCUUACGUACAUAGUGUAAGCAGGAUACGGGAAUCUGACAAAACAAUAAGCGGGAUCCGGAAUCGGAACCCCCCAAUGAGACCCCC